rnacentral:rRNA from 1 species
AUUGAACGCUGGCGGUAUGCUUAAGACAUGCAAGUCGAACGGUAACAGGUUAAGCUGACGAGUGGCGGACGAGUGAGUAACGCGUGGGAAUCUACCUUGUAGUGGGGGAUAAGCCAGGGAAACUUGGACUAAUACCGCAUACGCCCUAAGGGGGAAAGGCGCAAGUCGCUAUAAGAUGAGCCCGCGUCUGAUUAGGUAGUUGGUGGGGUAAAGGCCUACCAAGCCGACGAUCAGUAGCUGGUCUGAGAGGAUGAUCAGCCACGUCGGGACUGAGACACGGCCCGGACUCCUACGGGAGGCAGCAGUCGGGAAUAUUGGACAAUGGGGGAAACCCUGAUCCAGCAAUACCGCGUGUGUGAAGAAGGCCUGCGGGUUGUAAAGCACUUUCAGUUGGGAAGAUAAUGACGUUACCAACAGAAGAAGCACCGGCUAACUCCGUG